rnacentral:rRNA from 1 species
AUUGAACGCUGGCGGCAGGCCUAACACAUGCAAGUCGAGCGGAUGAAGGGAGCUUGCUCCUGGAUUCAGCGGCGGACGGGUGAGUAAUGCCUAGGAAUCUGCCUGGUAGUGGGGGAUAACGUCCGGAAACGGGCGCUAAUACCGCAUACGUCCUGAUGGUGAAAGGGGGGGAUCUUCGGACCUCACGCUAUCAGAUGAGCCUAGGUCGGAUUAGCUAGUUGGUGGGGUAAAGGCCUACCAAGGCGACGAUCCGUAACUGGUCUGAGAGGAUGAUCAGUCACACUGGAACUGAGACACGGUCCAGACUCCUACGGGAGGCAGCAGUGGGGAAUAUUGGACAAUGGGCGAAAGCCUGAUCCAGCCAUGCCGCGUGUAUGAAGAAGGUCUUCGGAUUGUAAAGCACUUUAAGUUGGGAGGAAGGGCAGUAAGUUAAUCCCUUGCUGUUUUGACGUUACCAACAGAAUAAGCACCGGCUAACUUCGUG